rnacentral:rRNA from 1 species
UACAGAGGUCCCAAGCGUUGUUCGGAUUCACUGGGCGUAAAGGGUGCGCAGGUGGUCGGGUAAGUCUGAUGUGAAAUCCCGCAGCUUAACUGCGGAAUGGCAUUGGAUACUAUUCGGCUAGAGGGUUGGAGGGGGGACUGGAAUUCCUGGUGUAGCGGUGAAAUGCGCAGAUAUCAGGAAGAACACCCGUGGCGAAGGCGGCUCUCUGGGACGGUACUGACGCUGAGACGCGAAAGCGUGGGGAGCGAACAGG